CCCCACCCCCAGCCUGGCUCGGUACAACAAGUGGCAAAAAUGUAGGCAUGAGGUUUUAUGCGCGCGCGAAGGACCGCGUGGAUCUAAAAGAUACAAGAUCCAAAGACGACGGGCGGGAGAAAGAGAGGGAGGAAAGUGUGCGGGUAUAGCGGUGGCGUUCACCGGGUGACGUCACUCGACGUGGGCGCACCCCCUCACAACACGCCGUCCUUAUUCUUCGCCGGCUCUGCACCCGCGACUGCUUCUCCAUUCUAGAGUCCGUUACUAUACACAGGCUAGUUUUGACCGCCCCUCAGGUGGCUGGUCGAAGCCGACCCGCCCGGUCGCACAAGGGGUUAAGGCGGUAAGCAGUGGCGGACAAUGUCAUUCAGCCGCGGCAGCAGGCAGGUAGGCGUCCGUACUAGAUGAUACAGCUAGGCGAGGGGGAAGGGGAAGGGAAUCUAUAGCCGCUUCAGAGGGAGGGUGAGACCAUUGACGCUAAUACCAUGCCCGAAUACAGAGAGGUGGUCAGAUAAAUGGAUAGAAGGUAGCAGCGCCAGCCAAAGACCCU